GGGGUUGUAAAGCACUUUUGUCAGGGAAGAAAAGGUUUCGGAUAAUACCCGGAACUGAUGACGGUACCUGAAGAAUAAGCACCGGCUAACUACGUGCCAGCAGCCGCGGUAAUACGUAGGGUGCAAGCGUUAAUCGGAAUUACUGGGCGUAAAGCGUGCGCAGGCGGUUCGGAAAGAAAGAUGUGAAAUCCCAGGGCUCAACCUUGGAACUGCAUUUUUAACUACCGGACUAGAGUAUGUCAGAGGGGGGUGGAAUUCCACGUGUGGCAGUGAAAUGCGUAGAUAUGUGGAGGAACACCGAUGGCGAAGGCAGCCCCCUGGGAUAAUACUGACGCUCAUGCACGAAAGCGUGGGGAGCAAACAGGAUUAGAUACCCUGGUAGUCCACGCCCUAAACGAUGUCAACUAGCUGUUGGGCCCUUCGGGGCUUAGUAGCGCAGCUAACGCGUGAAGUUGACCGUCUGGGGAGUACGGUCGCAAGAUUAAAACUCAAAGGAAUUGACGGGGACCCGCACAAGCGGUGGAUGAUGUGGAUUAAUUCGAUGCAACGCGAAAAACCUUACCUACCCUUGACAUGUCUGGAAUCCUGAAGAGAUUUAGGAGUGCUCGCAAGAGAACCGGAACACAGGUGCUGCAUGGCUGUCGUCAGCUCGUGUCGUGAGAUGUUGGGUUAAGUCCCGCAACGAGCGCAACCCUUGUCAUUAGUUGCUACAUUUAGUUGAGCACUCUAAUGAGACUGCCGGUGACAAACCGGAGGAAGGUGGGGAUGACGUCAAGUCCUCAUGGCCCUUAUGGGUAGGGCUUCACACGUCAUACAAUGGUCGGGACAGAGGGUUGCCAAGCCGCAAGGUGGAGCCAAUCUCACAAACCCGAUCGUAGUCCGGAUUGCAGGCUGCAACUCGCCUGCAUGAAGUCGGAAUCGCUAGUAAUCGCGGAUCAG
rnacentral:rRNA from 1 species